rnacentral:rRNA from 1 species
AUUGAACGCUGGCGGCAGGCCUAACACAUGCAAGUCGAGCGGAUGAAGGGAGCUUGCUCCUGGAUUCAGCGGCGGACGGGUGAGUAAUGCCUAGGAAUCUGCCUGGUAGUGGGGGAUAACGUCCGGAAACGGGCGCUAAUACCGCAUACGUCCUGAGGGAGAAAGUGGGGGAUCUUCGGACCUCACGCUAUCAGAUGAGCCUAGGUCGGAUUAGCUAGUUGGUGGGGUAAAGGCCUACCAAGGCGACGAUCCGUAACUGGUCUGAGAGGAUGAUCAGUCACAUUGGAACUGAGACACGGCCCAGACUCCUACGGGAGGCAGCAGUGGGGAAUAUUGGACCAUGGGCGAAAGCCUGCUCCAGCCAUGCCGCGUGUGUGAAGAAGGUCUUCGGAUUGUAAAGCACUUCAAGUUGGGAGGAAGGGCAGUAAGUUAAUACCUUGCUGUUUUGACGUUACCAACAGAAUAAGCACCGGCUAACUUCGUG